rnacentral:lncRNA from 1 species
CGUGGAUUUCCUCCCACCGGCUGCUCCGUUGUGAAAGGGGGGAGUCGCCAGCAACAGGCGACAGCGCCAUUGCUGUUCUCCGACGACACACCUCUUUUGGCACGUUCACCCCUAUUUUCUACAAAUCGAGAAUCAACGACGACGACAGUUGUUUCCGGCCACUCCCGUUCGUAGUGUAUGCUGAAAACCCUAGCUGAUGAUUAGAGAUGACAUCCAAAUGAAGAACUAAGAACUGGAGUCUGGAACAAUAAGCAUGUAUCUUUACAUCCCCGACAUUAUUGGUGAGUCAAUAUAGGUGCAAUUUGGUUAAGGUCAAUACGGGGGUUGCCCAUAAAAAUAGGCAUUGUACGGGUAAGGGCUGGUCGUUUUAUAAGAUGGUCAAAAAAAAAAAAUGUAAGGAAGUAGGUGUAACGUAUGUUAAUUAUUGUUUACAUCUUGAAAACUAUUAUUGGUAGAAUUGUUAUAAUUUAGAAUUAGGAAUAUAUGAUUAAUCACUGUUUCAUUAUGAAGAAUUCUGGUACUGUGUAUUAGUUACAAUUUUUAGGUUUUGCACGUCGCUGAUUUCACGAUUAUCUUCUUAUCGAGUCGUUAAGGUAUGCGUCUCCGUAGUAUGCAAAGAUUCAUUAUAUAAAACAAACACAUGGUUUCUGUUAAAUCAGUAGCUGCAGCUGUAUACAUGGAUUAUAGAGUCAACUUACGGAUGGUGACUUCCUAUUAAUUUCUUAGUAGCUGAAAAUGAUUAACUGAUCAGCUAUCGACGCUCAGAUCAAAUGUUCCCAAAAUAAGCAAGGUGGAUGGAUAAAGAUCAAUACUGGGGCUACAAUACGGAUACCCUGAUCCAGAUUUGUUGUUCGAUGAAAUGAGGACCGUUAUCAACAAUGAGCACACUUGAAGCACUUGGUUUAGACAUUCAACAAUGGGUCAUCAGUUAUUUUAAUGGUUGUUUAUU